GGGAGUGUAGUUAAAAUAACAUUUAAAUUGCAAUUAAAAAAUACUAAAUAUUAAUUAGUCUCUCUCA
rnacentral:tRNA from 1 species